rnacentral:rRNA from 1 species
CAGCAGCCGCGGGAAUACGAAGGGGGCUAGCGUUGUUCGGAAUUACUGGGCGUAAAGCGCACGUAGGCGGAUAUUUAAGUCAGGGGUGAAAUCCCAGAGCUCAACUCUGGAACUGCCUUUGAUACUGGGUAUCUUGAGUAUGGAAGAGGUGAGUGGAAUUCCGAGUGUAGAGGUGAAAUUCGUAGAUAUUCGGAGGAACACCAGUGGCGAAGGCGACUGACUGGACAAGUAUUGACGCUGAGGUGCGAAAGCGUGGGGAUCGAACAGGAUUAGAUACCCCAGUAGUCCCUGUCUCUUAUAC